UAUCAAUAAGCGGAGGAAAAGAAACCAACCGGGAUUGCCUCAGUAACGGCGAGUGAAGCGGCAACAGCUCAAAUUUGAAAUCUGGCUCCGUUCCGGGGUCCGAGUUGUAAUUUGUAGAGGAUGCUUCGGGCGCGGCACCGGUCUAAGUCCCUUGGAACAGGGCGUCAUAGAGGGUGAGGAUCCCGUAUGUGACCGGCGACCAAGUCCGUGUGAAGCCCCUUCGACGAGUCGAGUUGUUUGGGAAUGCAGCUCAAAAUGGGUGGUAAAUUUCAUCUAAAGCUAAAUACCGGCCAGAGACCGAUAGCGCACAAGUAGAGUGAUCGAAAGAUGAAAAGCACUUUGGAAAGAGAGUCAAAAAGUACGUGAAAUUGUUGAAAGGGAAGCGCUUGUAACCAGACCUGCCGUCGGGUGCUCAGCGGGCACUUGUGCCCGCCUAUUCACCCGCGAUCAGGCCAGCAUCGGUUUGGGCGGCCGGAUAAAGACUCGAGGAAUGUAGCUUCGCUUCGGGGAAGUGUUAUAGCCUCGGGUGCAAUACGGCCAGCCGGGACCGAGGACCGCGCUUCGGCUAGGAUGCUGGCGUAAUGGUUGCAAGCGACCCGUCUUGAAACACGGACCAAGGAGUCUAACAUCUAUGCGAGUGUUUGGGUGUCAAACCCAUGCGCGGAAUGAAAGUGAACGGAGGUGGGAACCCUCAAGGGCGCACCAUCGACCGAUCCGGAAGUUUACGGAUGGAUUUGAGUAUGAGCAUAGCUGUUGGGACCCGAAAGAUGGUGAACUAUGCCUGAAUAGGGUGAAGCCAGAGGAAACUCUGGUGGAGGCUCGCAGCGGUUCUGACGUGCAAAUCGAUCGUCAAAUUUGGGUAUAGGGGCGAAGUAAGCAUCUCCCCGGCUUCUUAUUUUGUGGUGUAACAAUUGCUAACAUAUCAACAGAGACUAAUCGAACCAUCUAGUAGCUGGUUCCUGCCGAAGUUUCGUAAGUUCCUCCCCAGGAGCCCCCCUAAUAUAAGCCUAUACUAACAAUUUCAAUAGCCUCAGGAUAGCAGUAACGUUUUCAGUUUUAUGAGGUAAAGCGAAUGAUUAGAAGCCUUGGGGAUGAAACAUCCUUAACUUAUUCUCAAACUUUAAAUAUGUAAGAAGUCCUUGUUACUUAGUUGAACGUGGACAUUUGAAUGCACCGUUACUAGUGGGCCAUUUUUGGUAAGCAGAACUGGCGAUGCGGGAUGAACCGAACGUGGGGUUAAGGUGCCGGAAUGUACGCUCAUCAGACAC
rnacentral:rRNA from 1 species